rnacentral:tRNA from 1 species
AUACAAAUAGUUUAAAAAAAACACUACAUUUUCAUUGUAUUAAUAGGGUUACCUUUUGUAUU